rnacentral:rRNA from 1 species
UUAAAUUGAAGAGUUUGAUCAUGGCUCAGAUUGAACGCUGGCGGCAGGCCUAACACAUGCAAGUCGAACGGUAACAGGAAGCAGCUUGCUGCUUUGCUGACGAGUGGCGGACGGGUGAGUAAUGUCUGGGAAACUGCCUGAUGGAGGGGGAUAACUACUGGAAACGGUGGCUAAUACCGCAUAACGUCGCAAGACCAAAGAGGGGGACCUUCGGGCCUCUUGCCAUCAGAUGUGCCCAGAUGGGAUUAGCUAGUUGGUGAGGUAACGGCUCACCAAGGCGACGAUCCCUAGCUGGUCUGAGAGGAUGACCAGCCACACUGGAACUGAGACACGGUCCAGACUCCUACGGGAGGCAGCAGUGGGGAAUAUUGCACAAUGGGCGCAAGCCUGAUGCAGCCAUGCCGCGUGUAUGAAGAAGGCCUUCGGGUUGUAAAGUACUUUCAGCGGGGAGGAAGGUGUUGUGGUUAAUAACCUCAGCAAUUGACGUUACCCGCAGAAGAAGCACCGGCUAACUCCGUGCCAGCAGCCGCGGUAAUACGGAGGGUGCAAGCGUUAAUCGGAAUUACUGGGCGUAAAGCGCACGCAGGCGGUCUGUCAAGUCGGAUGUGAAAUCCCCGGGCUCAACCUGGGAACUGCAUUCGAAACUGGCAGGCUUGAGUCUUGUAGAGGGGGGUAGAAUUCCAGGUGUAGCGGUGAAAUGCGUAGAGAUCUGGAGGAAUACCGGUGGCGAAGGCGGCCCCCUGGACAAAGACUGACGCUCAGGUGCGAAAGCGUGGGGAGCAAACAGGAUUAGAUACCCUGGUAGUCCACGCCGUAAACGAUGUCUACUUGGAGGUUGUGCCCUUGAGGCGUGGCUUCCGGAGCUAACGCGUUAAGUAGACCGCCUGGGGAGUACGGCCGCAAGGUUAAAACUCAAAUGAAUUGACGGGGGCCCGCACAAGCGGUGGAGCAUGUGGUUUAAUUCGAUGCAACGCGAAGAACCUUACCUGGUCUUGACAUCCACAGAACUUUCCAGAGAUGGAUUGGUGCCUUCGGGAACUGUGAGACAGGUGCUGCAUGGCUGUCGUCAGCUCGUGUUGUGAAAUGUUGGGUUAAGUCCCGCAACGAGCGCAACCCUUAUCCUUUGUUGCCAGCGGUCCGGCCGGGAACUCAAAGGAGACUGCCAGUGAUAAACUGGAGGAAGGUGGGGAUGACGUCAAGUCAUCAUGGCCCUUACGACCAGGGCUACACACGUGCUACAAUGGCGCAUACAAAGAGAAGCGACCUCGCGAGAGCAAGCGGACCUCAUAAAGUGCGUCGUAGUCCGGAUUGGAGUCUGCAACUCGACUCCAUGAAGUCGGAAUCGCUAGUAAUCGUGGAUCAGAAUGCCACGGUGAAUACGUUCCCGGGCCUUGUACACACCGCCCGUCACACCAUGGGAGUGGGUUGCAAAAGAAGUAGGUAGCUUAACCUUCGGGAGGGCGCUUACCACUUUGUGAUUCAUGACUGGGGUGAAGUCGUAACAAGGUAACCGUAGGGGAACCUGCGGUUGGAUCACCUCCUUACCUUAAAGAA